rnacentral:rRNA from 1 species
GGGCCCGCACAAGCGGUGGAGCAUGUGGUUUAAUUCGAUGAUACGCGAGGAACCUUACCAGGGCUUAAAUGUAGUGGGACAGGUCUAGAGAUAGACCCUUCUUCGGACUCAUUACAAGGUGCUGCAUGGUUGUCGUCAGCUCGUGCCGUGAGUGUCAGGUUAAGUCCUAUAACGAGCGCAACCCCCAUCGUUAGUUGCCAACGAGUAAUGUCGGGAACUCUAACGAAACUGCCGGUGCAAACCGUGAGGAAGGUGGGGGAUGACGUCAAAUCAUCACGGCCCUUACGUCCUGGGCUACACACGUGCUACAAUGGCCGGUACAGAGAGAGCCACUACGCGAGUAG